ACAAACGCUGGCGGCGUGCCUAAUACAUGCAAGUCGAACGGGGAAGUCCCGCAAGGGAUUGUACUAGUGGCGCACGGGUGAGUAACGCGUGGGUAAUGUUCCAUAGAGUGGGGGAUAACCAGUCGAAAGAUUGGCUAAUACCGCAUAAGACCACAGGAUCUGAGGAUCUAGGGGUCAAAGGUUUUUCGCUCUAUGAUCAGCCCGCGUGAGAUUAGCUAGUUGGUGAGGUAACGGCUCACCAAGGCAACGAUCUCUAACAGGUCUGAGAGGAUGAUCUGUCACACUGGAACUGAGACACGGUCCAGACUCCUACGGGAGGCAGCAGUAGGGAAUAUUGCACAAUGGAGGAAACUCUGAUGCAGCGACGCCGCGUGAGUGAUGAAGGACUUCGGUUCGUAAAGCUCUGUCGUAUGGGAAUAAGAAAGUGAAUGUACCAUGCAAGAAAGGAUCGGCUAACUUCGU
rnacentral:rRNA from 1 species